rnacentral:rRNA from 1 species
GGAUGCGAUCAUACCAGCACUAAAGCACCGGAUCCCAUCAGAACUCCGAAGUUAAGCGUGCUUGGGCAAGAGUAGUACUAGGAUGGGUGACCUCCUAGGAAGUCCUCGUGUUGCAUUCC